UGCCAGCCUCCAAAGCUGGCUUACCGAAGAGGCUAGUCUAUCUUGCCGGGCGUGCGGAGGGGAUUUCCCACUCCAAGCGAAGGCCAUGAACACUCUGGACGGCGUUUUUGCGCUCGGCCCGUGGUGUGAUUGU
rnacentral:ncRNA from 1 species